UGUCCGAUUUGGCACCUUACACAGGAACAGCCGCUUCUCCCAAACGAGAUCAGCAUUAUUUGCUACUCCUGCAACAUCAGUACGGAUGUUUAUCAUCAUUUUCACAAUUACAUUAACAUUGGAAACCCGUCGUGCACAGGGGCCCACAGGCAGCGGAUGUGGCUGGCACCCAGCUGCUGGUGGCCCUCUCAAUGGUCUCUCCCACCAUGAAAGCGCUGGUGGAUGCCGUGUGGGCGGUGUGGAGCAUCGGGGCCUCCAUCUAUGACUACAUCCACACCAGCGCAAUGGAGGAGCGCAUCCACGCCUUGGAGAACGUCAUCACCAUCCACCAGUGUGUGAUUGGGCUGCUGUCGGCAGGAGUGGUGGUGCUCUUCACCUACAUCCUUUUCAAGAAGCUGUGAGAGGGUGUGUGGGAAUGUGUGGGGAGAGGUGGACUGACUGGAUUGCCACUCAGGUUUCCCGUGUGGUUAACCAAACAUCCAGAACGACAACAGUGGGGAACCAGUGUUGGCUGAGGAUGACGUUCUGGCUUCCAAGGGCGGCGGCUCUUUCCACGCCAUCCAUGGAGGCUGGAUGUAGUUUCCAUGGGGGGAGACGGCAAGGACGGGGUGGGGAGGAACCUGAGAUGUCCACGGGUAUUCUCUCUAAUCAGACAAGGUGAUGGGAAGUAGCAUCGAAGACAUAGAUGAUUGACAGUGGAGAAUGUGCUUUGGUCAAGAACUGAACACUUGCUCAUGUUCAUGUUCCUAUAACCACCGGACUAGCAUGGAUGGAUGCUGUGGUAAACCUGGUGUGCAGCUGUCUUGGUUGUAAGACUGAAGGUGGGGUUGCCAUGUCCAACAUCAGCAGUGUUUGCUGAGGAGGUCAGCAUGUGUGACAAAGAGUUGAGUGAUAAGGGUUUUUUCUAAGGUGGAUACUGAGAUCUUUUUCUAUUGAAGCUGGUGAUAUGUGAUGUUUUCUACCCUUAUAAAAAAAAAACAUAUUCUCCUAUUUUCAUGCAAUUUAAAUACAAUUUAAACAACUUAAUGGAUCCUUAACAGAGUGGAAAAGUGACCUUGGGAGACAAAAACGCUCCUGCAGCUCCUUAAGAGAGGAUGAGGCACAUUUCAGUUUACUGACAGAUUCACCUGAAUCUGCUGAGUAACACACCAACUGGAAGGAAUUCUCUGAUCAAUCUUAACAUUUAUCCAUCACAUCAGAAAUGGGCAACACUGGAAACAAUAUCUGAUUGAUUGUAAAAACACAAAUACCUGCAAACCAAUAGGCUGUAUUGGUCCAUCCCAGUGUGGGAACUCUACACCAAACAUGAUAGCAGUGUUUGUCUUUAGUAUUUCCAUAACAUUCAUGUAACAUCCAUAUUUACGUAAGACAAGUGUCAUCUGACGGCAUGUUUCAGCCCUAAGCCUCAGCUACACAUUUGUCAAAUCUUCUCUAAAGGGAUCAUAACUUAAAAUAUCACUCCAGUACAACUUUUGCCUUAACACACUUGAUGUUUUUACUAUCAAGAGUCUGGUCGGUAGAGGCAUAAUCUGUUUUCAUGUUUGCACUAAUUUCUUACAAAGCCUGAGUAAGACAUUAGAAACACACCAUGUCCAUGUGAAAUGGUGUGUCUCACUCUCACAUGCCAAUGAUUGGAAAGUGCCAAUUUGCUUUGAUGUCCCAGAGGUUUUUAGUAGAUGAGAUGAUCAAGAGAAAGCGAGAUCAUGUGACUGAAUAUAAUUUUCAUUAGGACCUCCAAACUAAUCUAGUGUACUGGCCUCUAGGAUCUCUUAUGAAUCAUCUUUUUUCAAUGAAUGGAGGAGACCAGUGCCAUUACACUAUCCACUAAUUUGUGUUAUUCAUUGUUUUGUCUUGAGGCAUCAGAUAAGAGAAAAUACAGCUUAAGAUCCCUCGACAUAAAUCACAGGUCUGUAUAUGUAUUAUCAGUAAUAUUUGACUUUGACAGUGAAAAUUAUUUGUAUUACUGGUAUUAUUUGACUUUGACAGUGAAAAAUAAUGAUCCACUUUUUUUUUUUUUUUUUGAUAACAUUUUGUUGUACCUCAGUUCUCCAGUCACUGUAGAGGCAAGCGCUGUAUAAAACAAAGAACUGGAUAGAACGAUUCAAAGUGUCCUUAAAAAAAUCUACAUUUGAAUGUUCAUGGACAUCAAGCUUUUCUAUAGAUGGCCAUCUACUAAAUUAGAUCAUGUGUCUAAAAGGUUUUGUGGAUGUGGUACUGUUACAGGACAUUUGCUGCUUAAUAUUUGUGGUAUUAUUUUAUGAAGGCAAGAUUUUGCACCAUUUGAAAGGCAAGCAUUGACAUAGUGCUUCAUUGACUUGAUUUUCACUACCUGACUACUGAGUCUUGAAAUGUAUAAUAUGAAAUGAGAGGUUUAUUAUGUUACUAGAGGAUAAAGACAGUUUCUGUCACAAUAACUGUAACACAAACUACCUUCACUCACCUACAAAGAAAACUUUGUUUAAAGAAGUUGUGGGUCAUUGAAAUCUACUGCCAAAUGGGCUCAGUGCUCAGUGCUGUAACUACUAGCUGUCAGUGACAGAUAGUAGUUACAGGUAUACAGAUGUACGAUUGUUCAUAUCUAUGUGCAUUUGCUACAGUCCCAGAGGGACCACAAUAGAAAGUAAACUGAUGAUGAAAGGAUGUUUUAUUUCUUUACAAUAGCAUCAAGGUUUGUCAUCUCAAAAUGCAAAAUAAAUGUGGAACUCUUGCAAUUACA